CGCUGGCGGCAGGCCUAACACAUGCAAGUCGAGCGGUAGAGAGGUGCUUCGCAUCUCUUGAGAGCGGCGGAGGGUGAGUAUGCUAGGAAUCUGCCUGGUAGUGGGGGACAACGUUUCGAAAGGAACGCUAAUACCGCAUACGUCCUACGGGAGAAAGCAGGGGACCUUCGGGCCUUGCGCUAUCAGAUGAGCCUAGGUCGGAUUAGCUAGUAGGUGAGGUAAUGGCUCACCUAGGCGACGAUCCGUAACUGGUCUGAGAGGAUGAUCAGUCACACUGGAGCUGAGACACGGUCCAGACUCCUACGGGAGGCAGCAGUGGGGAAUAUUGGACAAUGGGCGAAAGCCUGAUCCAGCCAUGCCGCGUGUGUGAAGAAGGUCUUCGGAUUGUAAAGCACUUUAAGUUGGGAGGAAGGGCAGUAAGUUAAUACCUUGCUGUUUUGACGUUACCAACAGAAUAAGCACCGGCUAACUUCGUG
rnacentral:rRNA from 1 species